AGCGAACGCUGGCGGUAGGCCUAACACAUGCAAGUCGAACGGCAGCACAGUAAGAGCUUGCUCUUACGGGUGGCGAGUGGCGGACGGGUGAGGAAUACAUCGGAAUCUACUUUUUCGUGGGGGAUAACGUAGGGAAACUUACGCUAAUACCGCAUACGACCUACGGGUGAAAGCAGGGGAUCUUCGGACCUUGCGCGAUUGAAUGAGCCGAUGUCGGAUUAGCUAGUUGGCGGGGUAAAGGCCCACCAAGGCGACGAUCCGUAGCUGGUCUGAGAGGAUGAUCAGCCACACUGGAACUGAGACACGGUCCAGACUCCUACGGGAGGCAGCAGUGGGGAAUAUUGGACAAUGGGCGCAAGCCUGAUCCAGCCAUACCGCGUGGGUGAAGAAGGCCUUCGGGUUGUAAAGCCCUUUUCUUGGGAAAGAAAAGCAGCAGGUUAAUACCCCGCUGUUCUGACGGUACCCAAAGAAUAAGCACCGGCUAACUUCGUG
rnacentral:rRNA from 1 species